GAUGAACGCUGGCGGCGUGCCUAAUACAUGCAAGUCGAGCGAACAGAUAAGGAGCUUGCUCCUUUGACGUUAGCGGCGGACGGGUGAGUAACACGUGGAUAACCUACCUAUAAGACUGGGAUAACUUCGGGAAACCGGAGCUAAUACCGGAUAACAUAUUGUACCGCAUGGUUCAAUAGUGAAAGGCGGCUUUGCUGUCACUUAUAGAUGGAUCCGCGCCGUAUUAGCUAGUUGGUAAGGUAACGGCUUACCAAGGCAACGAUACGUAGCCGACCUGAGAGGGUGAUCGGCCACACUGGAACUGAGACACGGUCCAGACUCCUACGGGAGGCAGCAGUAGGGAAUCUUCCGCAAUGGGCGAAAGCCUGACGGAGCAACGCCGCGUGAGUGAUGAAGGUCUUCGGAUCGUAAAACUCUGUUAUCAGGGAAGAACAAAUGUGUAAGUAACUGUGCACAUCUUGACGGUACCUGAUCAGAAAGCCACGGCUAACUACGUG
rnacentral:rRNA from 1 species